AUUGAACGCUGGCGGCAGGCUUAACACAUGCAAGUCGAGCGGGGGAGGUUGCUUCGGUAACUGACCUAGCGGCGGACGGGUGAGUAAUGCUUAGGAAUCUGCCUAUUAGUGGGGGACAACAUUCCGAAAGGGAUGCUAAUACCGCAUACGCCCUACGGGGGAAAGCAGGGGAUCUUCGGACCUUGCGCUAAUAGAUGAGCCUAAGUCGGAUUAGCUAGUUGGUGGGGUAAAGGCCUACCAAGGCGACGAUCUGUAGCGGGUCUGAGCGGAUGAUCCGCCACAGUGGGACUGAGAAGCGGCCCAGACUCCUACGGGAGGCAGCAGUGGGGAAUAUUGGACGAUGGGCGGAAGCCUGAUCCAGCCAUGCCGCGUGUGUGAAGAAGGCCUUUUGGUUGUAAAGCACUUUAAGCGAGGAGGAGGCUCUUAAGGUUAAUACCCUUGAUGAGUGGACGUUACUCGCAGAAUAAGCACCGGCUAACUCUGUGCCAGCCGCCGCAGUAAAAC
rnacentral:rRNA from 1 species